GAUGAACGCUGGCGGCGUGCCUAAUACAUGCAAGUCGAGCGGUAAGGCCACUUCGGUGGUACACGAGCGGCGGACGGCUGAGUAACACGUAGGAACGUACCCCAAACUGAGGGAUAAGCACCGGAAACGGUGUCUAGUACCGCAUGUGCUCUUCGGAGUAAAGCUACGGCGGUUUGGGAACGGCCUGCGCAUGAUUAGCUAGUUGGUGAGGUAAUGGCUCACCAAGGCGACGAUCAUUAGCUGGUCUGAGAGGAUGAUCAGCCAGACUGGGACUGAGAACGGCCCAGACUCCUACGGGAGGCAGCAGUAGGGAAUUGUCCACAAUGGGGGCAACCCUGAUGGAGCAACGCCGCGUGCAGGAUGAAGGCUUUCGGGUCGUAAACUGCGUUUAUCUGUGAAGAUUAUGACGGUAGCAGAUGAAUAAGGAUCGGCUAACUCCGUGCCAGCAGCCGCGGUAA
rnacentral:rRNA from 1 species